rnacentral:sRNA from 1 species
GAGGAUGCAGGUUGGGGGCGGGGCUGCGGUUGAGGCCUGGGCAGGGGUCUCUACCCCUACCCUCCCUGCCACCGCCUGUCUUUUCCCUCUCUGUCACCCCAGAACAGCGAUUUCUUGCGGGAGCUCGUGAUCACCAUCGCCAGGGAGGGCCUUGAGGACAAAUACAACUUGCAGCUGAAUCCGGAAUGGCGCAUGAUGAAGAACCGGCCAUUCAUGGGCUCCAUCUCGCAGCAGAACAUCCGCUCGGAGCAGCGUCCUCGGAUCCAGGAGCUGGGGGACCUGUACACGCCCGCCCCCGGGAGAGCUGAGUCAGGGUGGGCCUUCGGUAGAUCCCCGGUCUGAUGUUUCUUCAACGCUCUUGGGAAUCCCUCCCUCCAUCCUCCCACACUGGGUGAUGUCCUGGGGCCCUGGGCACUGACAGAGGGAGGAGAGAGAACU